UUUUACUUAGAGGUUAUUAAAUCAUUCAAUACAAGAACACUAGUGGAACGAAGCGUAAAAGAAACGGAAGAAAAAAGGGACACAGAGUGAAUUCUAAGAAGUGUGUGUGAGAAGAAGAAUGCAAUGUGCGAACACUUCCUGGGUAUCAACCAUUCAUCUGCCACUCAUCAAAGCAUCAAAUUCACAGACCAAAUUGCCAUUUUCCCAAACAAGAGCUCAACUUCCUAGGAGCCCUAAUGCUUAUGAUGAUGAUGAUGAUGAUGGUGAGAGUUCAGUGGUGACCAUUCCUCUGCCUUCUCAUUUGAAAUCCAUCACAAGCACAUCAAACCCAUUUGUGAAACACUGCCUCAAGCUUCGACACAGCUCUUCGUAUCGCCACUCUCAUGCUUCAGCUCUUGUUGUUGGCACUACCCCUAUAAGGGAAAUAUGCAGGUUUCAAGGAUCAAUGCAAGAGAGACGUGCUGUGAUAGAUUGUUUACUUCUACUUGAUAAAGCUGAGAUUCCUGAAGGGUUGAAUGAUCUCCCUGUUCGUCUUGUUCGUGUUAGCGCAAUGGUAAUGAAGAAACUUUCUGGAAUGCAAUCAACUGAAUCUAUUGAAGCAAUCGCUCUAAUGAGAAUCCCUUCAAGUUUUCGUAGUUUAGAUGACAACCAGCAAGACACAGAUUGUCGAAGGUGGUUUCCAUCUCCACGUCGAACUUUAGUUCUUGAUGGGAUCCAGGACCCGGGGAAUCUUGGCACAUUACUUAGGUCAGCGAUGGCCUUUAGAUGGGGUGGUGUCUUUUUGCUUCCUGGCUGUUGUGAUCCAUUCAACGAGAAAGCCCUCCGAGCUAGCCGAGGAGCCUCCUUUCAGCUUUCUAUAGUUUCUGGCAGUUGGAUUCAUCUACAAGCUCUCAGAAAUGAAUUUCACAUGAAGAUGUUGGCCGGCCACCCAGAGAGCAAUGAAGAUUUGAAGCCAGUGUCUCGGCUUUGUCAAGGGCUUGCAGAUUCUUUAGCAGAUGCAUCAUUGUGCUUGGUUUUAGGCAGCGAAGGGGGUGGCAUUUCAGAGAUGACUAAGCAAGUAUGUGAGCUUGUAAGCAUUCCAAUGGCAGGAAAAUUUGAAUCUCUCAAUGUUUCUGUUGCGGGUGGAAUCUUCUUGUAUAUGCUACAGCCUGAGAACCAUAAAAAUUCCUGAAGCAAAUUGAGACAGCACAAACAGAAAAUGGGCAUGGAACAUGAUUGGGUGGCCGAAAAUGCAAGCUGAAUGGGGUGCUCCCCAUUCAACCGGCCAGCUUAUCUCUACUCAGUGGGUAUUAAUUGUAACUGAAUAUUACUUUAGAAUGAGACUAGCCAGAAAGAAGGCAGAGAAAGCAGAUGAUGGUUGUGGUUCUUGGUGGUGACGGUGACGAAUUUAAAGAAUAGAGAGGACGGAGAAAUGAAAAGUGGAUCUAGACAACCACAUUAUCACUUUGGAGGAUUCCCACAGGUGAAGUUCUUGGAGGGGGCUUUUGAGUAUGUGGAGUUAAUUUACCUAGACUAACCGGUGUUAGACAAGAGGUAAUCUAGUGACGAGGAUAUCGAGCUUUCAGAAGAAGGAAGAAAAGAAUAUGCUGAUGUUUUAGUGGUGGGAGGAAUAGAGCACAAUACAUUUGGUUGUGUAAGCAAUAUAUCCAACGGUUAAGCAAAUCCAAGUUUUUUUUUUUUUUUUUUUUUUUUGUCAUCUGGGCUUGCAAAUCCAGGUCUUAACUUGCUAAGCUUGGAUGCCUAUUCAGAUUGAUUUCAUUGCGUAAAUUGAAUAUCACAUUUGGUAGUGUAGAAUUUACUCAGAAUUCGAAUU